rnacentral:rRNA from 1 species
AGAGUUUGAUCCUGGCUCAGGACAAACGCUGGCGGCGUGCGUAACACAUGCAAGUCGGACGAGCUCACCGAGCUUUCGGGCUGGGGGAGCGAGUGGCGGACGGGUGCGGAACACGUGGAUGACCUACCCUGCCGAGGGGGAUACCCCCCAGAAAUGGGGGCUAAGCCCGCAUACGGUCCUUGGUGUUGGUGCCAAGGAAGAAAGGGGUUCUCGCGAGAGAGCCACCGCGGCAGGAGGGGUCCGCGGCCGAUUAGCUAGUUGGGGGGGUAAAGGCCUCCCAAGGCGACGAUCGGUAGCUGGUCUGAGAGGAUGAUCAGCCACACUGGGAUUGAGAACGGCCCAGACUCCUACGGGGGGCAGCAGUGAGGAAUCUUCGACAAUGGGCGCAAGCCUGAUCGAGCAACGCCGCGUGCGGGAGGACGCCUUUCGGGGUGUAAACCGCUUUUCCCUGGGACGAGAGGCAGGGCAACCUGUGGACGGUACCAGGGGAAGAAGUCUCGGCUAACUACGUGCCAGCAGCCGCGGUAAGACGUAGGAGGCGAGCGUUGUCCGGAGUUACUGGGCGUAAAGGGUGCGCAGGCGGCCCCUUAAGGUGGCGGUGAAAGCUCCUGGCUCAACUGGGAGAGGGCCGUGACGACUGGGGGGCUUGAGGCUCGGAGAGGGACGUGGAAUUCCGGGUGGAGCGGUGAAAUGCGUAGAGAUCCGGAAGAACACCGACGGCGAAGGCAGCGUCCUGGCCGAGCACUGACGCUCAGGCACGAAAGCGCGGGGAGCGAACAGGAUUAGAUACCCUGGUAGUCCGCGCCGUAAACGAUGUCCACCAGGUGCCGGGGGUAUCGACCCCCUCGGUGCCGCAGCUCACGUGAUGAGUGGACCGCCUGGGGAGUACGGCCGCAAGGUUAAAACUCAAAGGAAUUGACGG